GAUGAACGCUGGCGGCGUGCUUAACACAUGCAAGUCGAACGGAAAGGCUCCUGCUUGCAGGGGUACUCGAGUGGCGAACGGGUGAGUAACACGUGGGUGAUCUGCCCUGCACUUCGGGAUAAGCCUGGGAAACUGGGUCUAAUACCGGAUAGGACGAUGGUUUGGAUGCCAUUGUGGAAAGUUUUUCGGUGUGGGAUGAGCUCGCGGCCUAUCAGCUUGUUGGUGGGGUAAUGGCCUACCAAGGCGUCGACGGGUAGCCGGCCCGAGAGGGUGUACGGCCACAUUGGGACUGAGAUACGGCCCAGACUCCUACGGGAGGCAGCAGUGGGGAAUAUUGCACAAUGGGCGCAAGCCUGAUGCAGCGACGCCGCGUGGGGGAUGACGGCCUUCGGGUUGUAAACUCCUUUCGCUAGGGACGAAGCGCAAGUGACGGUACCUGGAGAAGAAGCACCGGCUAACUACGUG
rnacentral:rRNA from 1 species